AACGAACGCUGGCGGCAGGCUUAACACAUGCAAGUCGAGCGCCCCGCAAGGGGAGCGGCAGACGGGUGAGUAACGCGUGGGAAUCUACCCAUCUCUACGGAAUAACGCAUGGAAACGUGUGCUAAUGCCGUAUACGUCCUUCGGGAGAAAGAUUUAUCGGAGAUGGAUGAGCCCGCGUUGGAUUAGCUAGUUGGUGGGGUAAAGGCCUACCAAGGCGACGAUCCAUAGCUGGUCUGAGAGGAUGAUCAGCCACACUGGGACUGAGACACGGCCCAGACUCCUACGGGAGGCAGCAGGGGGUAAUAUUGGACAAUGGGCGCAAGCCUGAUCCAGCCAUGCCGCGUGAGUGAUGAAGGCCCUAGGGUUGUAAAGCUCUUUCACCGGUGAAGAUGAUGACGGUAACCGGAGAAGAAGCCCCGGCUAACUUCGUGCCAGCCGCCGCCGUAAGAC
rnacentral:rRNA from 1 species